ACUUUCUUAGUAUAACUAGUACAACUGACUUCCAAUCAGUAAGCUCCGCCCAAAAGCGGAAGAGAGUA
rnacentral:tRNA from 1 species